rnacentral:rRNA from 1 species
UUGACCUCGAAUCAGGUGGGACUACCCGCUGAACUUAAGCAUAUCAAUAAGCGGAGGAAAAGAAACUAACAAGGAUUCCCCUAGUAACGGCGAGUGAAGCGGGAAGAGCUCAAAUUUAAAAUCUGGCGGUCUUUGAUUGUCCGAAUUGUAAUCUAGAGAAGCGUUUUCCGUGCUGGACUGUGUACAAGUUUCCUGGAUACGGAACAUCAUAGARGGUGAGAAUCCCGUCCUGAACACAGGCUCCCAGUGCUUUUGUGAUGCGCUCUCGACGAGUCGAGUUGUUUGGGAUUGCAGCUCAAAAUGGGAGGUAAAUUCCCUUCUAAAGCUAAAUAUUGGCGAGAGACCGAUAGCGAACCAGUACCGUGAGGGAAAGAUGAAAAGCACUUUUGGAAGAGAGUUAACAGUACGUGAAAUGUUAAAGGA